GGCCAAAUGGUCUAGUGGUAUGAUUCUUGCUUUGGGUCCAGCUCAACUGCAAGAGGUCCCGUGUUCAAUCCACGGUUUGGCCC